rnacentral:rRNA from 1 species
AGACGUCUACAUUAGACUACCCGGUAGUCCCAGCCGUAAACUAUGCGCGUUAGGUGUAUCGGUGACCACGAGUCACCGAGGUGCCGAAGGGAACCGUGAAACGUGCCGCCUGGGAAGUACGGUCGCAAGGCUGAAACUUAAAGGAAUUGGCGGGGAGCACCACAACGGGUGGAGCCUGCGGUUUAAUUGGACUCAACGCCGGGAAGCUCACCGGAUAAGACAGCGGAAUGAUUGCCGGGCUGAAGACUCUGCAUGACUAGCUG